GGCCUGUUUGCUCAGUUGGUUAGAGCAUGGUUCUAUAAUAACGCCAAGGUCACGGGUUCGAUCCCCGUAUGGGCCA